rnacentral:lncRNA from 1 species
UAGUAUGUAUAGUGAACUUGAUGUUUUAUCUAUAUAUUCUAUUCUGUUUGGCAGCUCUUUAUCUUGUGGUUGUAGCUUGGUUUUGUUUACAGGUACAGCUAUCGCUUCGUAUACAGGAGAAAUUUCUUUGUAUACGGCGGGUCUGUUACCGUACCCGAAAAAAUGUGGUAAUCCGGAGCGUGACAAAUUAAGUUGGUAUCAGAGCUUAGCAUUAGGUCGUUGGGAUAUAGGA